CAACCCUACGGGAGGCAGCAGUGGGGAAUAUUGCACAAUGGGGGGAACCCUGAUGCAGCGACGCCGCGUGAGUGAAGAAGUAUUUCGGUACGUAAAGCUCUAUCAGCAGGGAAGAAAAAAGGACGGUACCUGAGUAAGAAGCCCCGGCUAACUACGUGCCAACAGCCGCGGUAAUACGUAGGGGGCAAGCGUUAUCCGGAUUCACUGGGUGUAAAGGGAGCGUAGACGGCGACGCAAGUCUGGAGUGAAAGCCCUGG
rnacentral:rRNA from 1 species